UGCAGCUAUACUGGUCCAACAUCGCCUGC
rnacentral:piRNA from 1 species